CAUUUUGGUGCAAUAUGGCGGUGCUACAGGCACAUAUACUGCACAUCCAAAAAUUCUUAAGUGGGAUAUAUUAGGUUCAUGACCCAAAACUCAUUGCAAGGGGGAAUAUUUGUAAUAAUUCUUCAGUCAGAGACAAACUAGCAUUGCUGCAUGCAAAAUGGCGUAACCCCAAAUCGAAGUGGGCAGCCGACGAACUAGCAUUGCUGCAUGCAAAAUGGCGUGAC
rnacentral:lncRNA from 1 species